UCGAACUGCCUGCAUGUCCGAAAGAAUCUUUAAACUUCUUUCCUAGUAGUCCGUACCU
rnacentral:sRNA from 1 species